rnacentral:rRNA from 1 species
UACGGGGGGGGCAAGCGUUGUUCGGAAUUACUGGGCGUAAAGGGCUCGUAGGCGGCCAACUAAGUCGGAUGUGAAAUCCCCAGGCUUAACCUGGGAACUGCAUCCGAUACUGGAUGGCUUGAAUCCGGGAGAGGGAUGCAGAAUUCCAGGUGUAGCGGUGAAAUGCGCAGAUAUCGGGAGGAACACCAAUGGCGAAGGCAGCUUGCUGGGACGGUACUGACGCUGAGACGCGAAAGCGUGGGGAGCAAACAGG